rnacentral:lncRNA from 1 species
GGGCAACAAAGGGUUUGGAUGAAAAACAAUUAGGUCUAUUCUCAUUUUCUUUGUUGAAAAUUGUACAAAGAUCAUACCUAAUUAAUCAUGUCGCUAAUCCUUUUGUAUAUGCCAUCUUUGAUAAAAGAUUUCGACAACAAACAGUAAAUAUUCUUACAUGCAAAACGACCGAUAAAGAUCACGACAAAAGACCAUCGGAAACAGAAAACAGUACACAAAAGGCGUCGACAUCAACUACAGCUAUAUAAACAUG